UGGAGCUGGAGUUUUCCAAAGGAGCUACCAUAAUCUGUGGACUCAAUGAUCCGUUAAUGACACCUGAAUGCUCACAGCAGAGCCCACCUCCACCUGCUGCUGCUCAUGGCUGGCCCGGUGAGGAUGCAGGUGCAUGGUAAGCACCCAAAUCAACAAUUAAGCUCACUUUUAUUAGUGGCUUCUGCUUACAAAACAGAGCUCUCGGGGAGCAUGAUUCAGUCUAGACAAAAACCUGGCAGCUCAGAAGAGUCUCACUGUUGGGGACCAGUGACAUCUUGUUAUAAUAAGGAGAGCCAGAAGAGUAAUAUUAUUCUGUUUUCACCUUCAUAGACUCUUACGGCCUAUUAUGGGGAUUACUAAAAACAAUUGUUUCCCACCUUAAACCUUCAAUUCUCCCCUCUAACAGUAAGGAAUUUUAAAGAAAAUAGGCAUUCCAUCUCUUCCAGGUGAACUAAGAUUAAUUCCUUUGGAAGUGUCACAUUUAGUUUGCUAAGAAAAAAAAAAGUCCACUGAGUGUGUAUAACUCUAAAAAAGCUUAAUACACUG
rnacentral:lncRNA from 1 species